rnacentral:lncRNA from 1 species
UUAUCAAUGGGUUGGAAUGCAUUUUAUGGAUGAUGUGAUUUUGUCACUAAAAUAGUGUAAAAGUUGCACUAUUUUAGUGUCAUGGGUUAGAGAUGGUCUUAGACUUUCAAAAGGAAUAUCACGAAUCAUGUGCGCGUACUGUGUGAUUACCAAUAAAUAUGAAGAGCAAUGUGUAAUGAGGGUUAUUUUAUAAAAAAGAAAAGAAAAAGGAAAAGAAGUAUGUGGUGGAUUUGGUUGAUGGAGUCCUCUAAGUUCUUUGUUAAAAACCAUAGACUUUAAAAUUGUAAAAGUAUGCUCUUACUUAGGUCUAGUCUUACUAGGUCUAGUGGUGUUGCAACAAUUUUAAUAAACAGUGUGCGUGUUUGGGUUAGGUAUGGCACCAUGGCAUACUAGAAUGCCAUAGAAAAUAUUGCGAGGACAGCAGAGAAAUGUUAUUAACUACCCUUCUCUCUUCUCUUUUCUCUCUUCUUUAUUCUUUUUAAUUCGUCUCUUCACUCAAAAAACUUGAGAAGUGCUGUACGAGAAAAAAAUCACCAACCCUAAUAAUCCUAAGUGUUUAUAUGUUAAUCUUGAGAAAAAUAGUAAGAAGGUAUGCCUUCUAGUAAAAAAAGUUUCCGGAAGGAGAGAUGUCUUCCAACGAAUUUUUUUGUGAUGAUAGAGGGAGCAUAAUUUUUAAUCCCAACCACUGGAUUGUUGUUGGAUCAAUGAUCCAAUGCCUGGAAACUGAUGGUUUGAUAAGAGUUCCCUGGCCAAUUGGCCAUUGCCAUUGAUAGCCAGGGAACAGCUCCCCAAAUAGUAAUUCUAGGUUUAUGAAAAAAUAUUCCAAUAUGCCAACCUGAAGUUGCCCAACUUUCCUAAAUAUAUCUGGGUUCCAAGUUAGUUUUGGGUUCCAAGUUAGUUUUGAUGUUGUUGCAUCUUUUUUACUUUUAGAUGUUGUUGAAUAUUUAGAUGUUCUUUCUUCUCACAACUGCGAUACUUGAUCUAUAUUAUCAAUUUGAGAUUACACACAUUAUGGGAUACUACUGUUCAAUUAAUACUACUUCAUUCUAUUAUUAAUCACAUAUAACCAUCAGAAGAUCUUUUAGUAAUGUUGUCCAUCAACUAGUUGUGGUCGCUAAUAGUUUACGCCUUUAGGUGCAGUAGUUUGGAUGCAAUUCUUCAAAAAUAUCAUGAUGUCACUAGUGAUGAUGCAAAAGAAGCAACGGGAGUCUAUGAACCUAAGGUAACAAUAUUCUCAUAUUAGUUUGUCUGACUUUCCACUUUGUAAACAUUCAACAUGUAUAAGGCCACCCUUUGCUUAGUCCUAGUAUUGUCUAAGUCAUGCUGAGAUUGGUUUUUGGCCCUUGUUUGUAUUUUUCCUUCAGGCCUGUAAUUAUAAAGCUGUAGAAAAUGUNGGGGGGGGGAGGAAGAUGUUUUACUCCAUGCCUAAUAUGUUUAUAGAAUUUAUAGCACUACAGAAUAAUCGCCCAUUUCGGUGAUCAUUCAUUGACAAUAUUUCUGCAUAAAUAUUACACGCUUUUAGAGCAUAUGUACACGUGGACAUUAAUUGAUCUAUACCUCUUAGGAGAUCAGUGCUGGGGAUGAUCGGUGGCACUACUACUUCAUACUCCUUAUGUCCCAGCAGGUUCUUUACGUUACUUUUUGGCACGCAUUUUAAGGCUCCUAUAAAGUAAAGUUCCAUAAUAUUUAUUUUAAUUUUUUUUCUCUGCAUUAAAGUUUGAUGUUUAAACUUUUAUUCAAAAAUAAAUAAAUUAGAAACACGUUAUGGAACUAUACUUUGUAGGGGCGUCAAAAUGCGUGCAAACAGUGAACGUAAACAACCUGCUGGGACGGAGGGAGUACUACAUAUAGUAUUUCAUUUCAAUGGAUGAUAUAGUCUAUUCAAUUAUACUUUAUUGAUAUAAUUUCUCUAAUUACCCUUCCCCAACGCUUGACAAGAGUCACAAGACAUGCACUGCUUUAGCCUUUCAUGCCCAACUUCCCUCGUUUAAUUAGGUGAUAUUAAUUUUCAGAUUUGGAAGUAUGUUGUUUAUCUUGAUGGUAUGUAGUAGUUAAAGUACCAUUAUCCUAUAUCUGGUACAUUAUUUUAAAAAAAAUCGAUGUUUGUGAUGUGAGAUGCUUUUUUUUUUUUGGGAUAGAAUUCAAAAUAUUCACGAGGAAAUCAGGCAAAUGGAGAUCUUUUACCAAGAGUUCAAAGGCAAGCACUAUUCUAUCUGAAUGUUAACUAAUACUUGUUUUAAGAGUGUAAUGUGAUACCUUUUGCCUAAAUCUCAUUUGUCUAGGUACUUGGCUGAACUUGAUUUAGACCAGUUCUCUGUGGCUGAUCUUGUGCAACUAGAGAAAGAACUGGGAACUGCACUGGUACAAACGAUAGCAGCAAAGAUCUCUGCCAAUGUACGAACAUCUACUCUUCAUCUUCUAUUUAAUUUGGUGUAUCCUCUGAACUCAAGUAUGUUCUUAAUUUCAACAUCUAUUGUUAAUAAACUAGCCAACUGUGGCCAGAAUCAUGAAUUAGGUGUUGUCAUGAGACGGAGACCACAACACUAGCAUUUUGGCCUUAAGGAAACAGCUAUAAUGAUGACUGACAGGAAACAGCUCCCUUGCCCAUUUGUUGUCCUUUGUCGGGCUUAAUUCUGAUGCCGAGUUUUAGUGCUAACCCUUGGUUUAAAUUAAAGGUCUUAGGUGUGCUGUAAUUGUUCUAUAUAUAAUAGGAGAUAGCUGUGAUUGUAUAUAAUGUAUUAAUUACAUUCACUGUGUUAUGAAUAUCUAAAAACUGAAUAUUGGCCAACUUUCUUAUCUUCCUACUAAAAUCUCGGAAUUGUAUCACAUUGAUAUUUUGAAUUGUAUCAGAUUGAUAUUUUAUUUUUCUAUUCUUCAUACCUAAUUAUCUAAUUCACAGUUUCAUCUCCUUUUACACUAAAGGGAAAGAAGUUUACUUGUUUAUGCUAGUUUGGCGUAUGUGAGAACUUGACUACGGGCCUACAACGGUACUAACUAUAUGAAACAGUUUGGUGCUCUUGUGAGGAGUGUGUAGAGUAUAUAGUCAUUCAGCAUUCCAACUCAACCUUAAAAGAUAUUGGGUCAUGAUUUCGCGAAACAGUUUAAGCUGUUAAUGCUCUUUCGAACUCAUAUGCUAUACCUAUACUUUGAGAAUCAUGAUGAGUAUUCCUUCCGAGACCAAGACAGACUAUGCUAGCCACUUCUUAAAUAGGACUCUCUUUUUCUCUUUUUUUUACAUGGAUAUGUCUACUUAAUUACUUGAACAAACUUGAUUUUAUUGUGUUUAUAGGACAUAACUGGAAUCUGGUUACGUUUAUAUAUCUAUAACUGCCUAUAGCAUGGGCUUGCAAGCUCAAGGUUCAUAGAUGCAUACACUACUGCAUAUAUCAUGUUUCAGUUUUUACUAGGUCUACUUUAUUCAUUAUAUUUUACGUGGCAGACGCGGCUGAUGAUGGAACCAAUAAGAACACUUCAAGAAAAGGUUUGCAUUGGCUAUCCAUAUGUAUUUAGGUUCAAGUUGGGUUUGAUUUUUCGAUCAAUUCAGGUUUGCAAAUCAGGUUUCCAUAGACCCUGGACCAACCUAUGGUUCAGGUUUGGUCUUUAUAGUUUUAAUCUGGUUUUUGAAUCUAUCCAGGUUUGCUCCAAAUCUUAAAAUUGUUGUGUUGGAUAAUUUUGAACCAAAAUUUAUCGUUUUUGGGUCUUUAGAUUUUCAAUUCGGUUUGGAUUCAAUUUUACAGUUUGAGUGGUGUUUUCUUUCCAAAAUCCAAAUCGAACUACCGAUGACCAUCCCUAUAUAUAAAAAUCAUCAUGGACAGAAUGAGUAAACAUGCACAUCAAGAUCAUAACAUUAAAUUUCUUCAAAAAAAAAAAUGAUCGUAACAUUAAACAAAAAUAACUUUAAGGAAUCGUUAUGACUUCUGACUUCUGCUUACCUAUUUGUAGGCAAAUUUGCUGAAAGAAGAAAAUGACGUCCUGGCGCAGCAGGUAGCUAGAUACACAGGGCCUUUGUUUUCUCUAUGCAUCAUCGUUUCAAGUUGAACUGGAAGUACAGAGAGCAGCACCAUUAAUAAUUUACUAAUUUCUUGACAAUAGAUUGCUGCAAUGGUGAAGCAAAACAUAGCCAAGAAGGAGAAAAGCGAAGAGGUUGGUUCAGAGUUAUGCAACCUUUCAGAUACUGAGACUCAUCAUGCACCACCAGGCGAGACACUUAUGUUGCUUGGUUAGUAGCAUCCACUAAUCAAGGUGGACCUCCUGCAGGUAGAUACCUGGUCAGAAUCUCAGAUACGUAAAGUGUUUCUAAGUUCUUGUUUGGUAGCCACGUUAAAGCAAUUUACCUGGUGAGCAAAUUGUGAUUCUGUCUGAGCUAAUCUACUUCGAGCUAUUAAAAGGAGCUCGCUUAUCACGGACUGUUCUGUGGAAAAUUUAUGCAAAAAUAACAGCUCAUCUGGUCUUACAAUAAUGUAAUUUGUGUGUUUCGUUCUCUCUUGCCCUCAUAAUGUUAACUUAUGCGAUUUUUUAGUUAUAUUAAAAACGUGUAAACUGUGUGUUUCGUUUCUUAAUUUUAAAUGUUCUCUUAUGAUAUGGUAAUAUGUGAUAUGAGGUGUCAAAGGGAGCAGAUGCAUCUCCGAAAAUACCUUAUCGAACGACCCUUCUUUCGUGUUAGAGAAGAAUAUAGAACGUAGCGGUAGUCCCAAUAAGAAAAAACGAUAUGAAUCUGUGUAUCUUUCUUCACCAACUGCUGUACAGUACUGGAAACCAUAGUUGUACCUAUACACAGGGCCGUUUGAGACUUUUUUGAGGCCCUGUCCUGACUUUAAGAAUGAGUCCCUUCCAAAUGACAAAACAAAAUUUUAAAAUAUUUAAAAUAACAUAAUAUCAUAAACAAAAUUAGACUACUACAACUGGAAAAUUGUUUUUUUUAAGUAGUUAGACUUAAAUAUGACUUAAAUAAUGGUAAAAAUAAUAGUAAAAAUUAAAGAGAUAUUAAUAUUAUAUUAUAUUUAAAUAAUGGUAAAAAUAAUGAUAAAAAUUAAAGAGACUUAAAUUAGUGUUUAAAUAAAAUAAUAGUAAAACUUAAAAAGAUAUUAAUAUUAUAUUAUAUUUAAAUAAUGGUAAAAAUAAUGAUAAAAAUUAAAGAGACUUAAAUUAGUGUUUAAAUAAAAUAAUAGUAAAACUUAAAAAGAUAUUAAUAUUAUAUUAUAUUUGUCAUUAGUAUACCAAAAGAUAGAAAGAAGUAGUAAUAGAUUGAGGCCCUAAAUUUUCAUGGGCCCUGUGCUGUUGCACUUGUUGCACUCCCUCAAAACCGGCCCUGCCUAUACAGAGAAUAUACGAAGCUGUAAUAUUCCAAAAUCUUUACGUGAUUUUUGGGAAAGAAGGCCAAAUCGUGAUGUAAGUAUUCAUCUUCUCCAUCUAAAGUAUAUAUUCAAAAGCAUGCAAAACAUACCACUGAAGUUGUUGGGGUCUUGGGGAUGAUUAUGAAUAUGUAGUCUUACCAUUUUCAUAUGUACACAUAUAAGGCAGGUGGUAAGCUGGGUUUGCAGCACCCAACUGAAGGAUGAAACAAGGCUGAGCGACGUAGAGGACAGCAAGUGAUAAAAUCAUCAACUGGAGACUUAAAAGUAAGAGUACAGCAAGCUAAUCAUACUCCUGCCUCCUGGACUUCUUUAUAUUGCUUAUCUGCAGCAUGCACUUGACAACACACGUAUUUUAUUAUAUAAUUGCACUAUAGCUGAAAUGGAUUAUGUGACCCAUACUACAUCUGGAGCUUGCCUAGCUCUCCAUCUGUCCUCUGUCUCACACUCUCCCUCUCUUGGUCACGGGCGGAUCCAGGGGGUCACCACGGGUUAGUUCUUGGCUAAUCUUCAAAACAGAAUUUAUUUUAGGGUUGAGUUUAAAAUAAGUGCUUCUUACUUAAAAUAAAUAAGUUGAGUAGAUAUUAGAAGCAAAUUAAGACUUAUAAGUGAUUAAAGUGCCCCAGUAGAAGUUACUCCCUCCGUCCACCAGGUUCUUUACGUUACUUUUUAGCACGCAUUUUAAGACCUCUAUAAAGUAUGGUUCCAUAAUGUCUUUUUUUUUUGAAAAAAAUCCUAAAAAAAAGUUUGACGCUUAAACUUUUAUUCAAAAAAAAAUAAAUUAAAAAAACAUUAUUGAACUAUACUUUAUAAGAGCCUCAAAAUGCGUGCAAACAGUGAGCGUAAGCUUCCUGGUGGGACGGAGGGAGUACUUUUUAAGGAGUGAUUUGGCAAAUCUGAACUGAAAAGAUGUAAUUGUUUAUUUUAUUUGAAUGAUGUGAGUUGAUAAGUUAUCUGAAUCCAAAAUCAAUAAUAUCAUUUGACAAAUAUUUUUUGAAAUAUCUGAAUGAGAUUGAUUUACACUUUUAUCUUGUUAAAUAAAUAAAGUGUCUACAUAAAAUAUUUCUGUAAUCUAAUAAAUAUCGUAUUUAAAAAUAUUAUUGAAUUUAAUUAAUUUUGAGUUAAUAAAAAACUAAACUAAAUUAAACUAUAAUUUUUUUUGCUAGGAUCAGAAUAUUUACCUAAAUUAACAUCUGAUAUUAUAAUAUACCCAAAAUUUCAAAUUUUAUGCUAAUCUCCAUGUUUUACAAAUUUUUGAUGUUAAUAUUAGUGGAUUAGUUUUAAAUAUAAUAAUGAUCUUUUUGUAAGUAUACAUUAUUGUGAAUUGCUAUUUGCUUAUGUUGCAAGGUUGUGUAAGCAAAAAGUUGCAGCUGCACCGCUGGCUGUGAUUUUAUAACUGCACGCUUAAGCAGUAUCUGAUUCAUGCUGCCUACUUUGAGAAUUAGACCCAAAUAAAAUGAACAUCUGAUGUAGGUCUGUCAAUGGAUCGGGUUUGGAUCGGAUCGAUCUAAAUCCAUAUCCAUAUCCAUUUAAUUUAACGGAUUUGGAUUCGAAUCGGAUCAGGAUCGGAUUUUUUUUAACCCAAUCCAUAUCCAUAUCCAUUCGGAUCACGGAUUUCGGAUCGGAUAUCCAAUCCAUUUACUUACUACUUAUAUAUAUUUCUUAUAAGACUUUAACAUUACCUAAAAUACAAAUAAAACCGGUAAAUAACAAUGUUAAAAUUUAAAUUACAAAGUCAAACAUUACAUCUCAAAUCUCAAAACAAAUUACAAACUAAACUGUUUAUAAAUAAAAUUUAAAAGGAUCCGUAAGUUUUCAAACCAGUGACUCCAAGACCCAGGUCACUAAAUAUACUAGAUGACUAGCAAAGACUGGGCCUGUGAAUUUGUAGUUGGUCUUAUAUUCAAAUAAUCAGUUUGUAAUGUAUGUUGUGAUUUGUAAAGACUAUAAUGUAUAAUAUAUAUAUAUAUAUAUAUAUAUAUAUAUAUAUAUAUAUAUAUAUAUUAAAUAUAUAUUUAACCGGAUCGGGUUAUAAACGGAUCGGAUCACACUAAAUCCAUAUCCGGUCCAUUUAUUAUCGGAUUUUUUUUAAUCGGAUCGAAUUUAGGAUCAGAUUUUUUUUUUACCAAAUCCUUAUCCGCUAAAAUGACCUCGGAUCGGUUCGGGUCGGAUCGGAUUUUCGCUCCAUUGACAGGCCUAAUAUGGUGCGGUUAGGAGAUCGCUCAUUCAGCACUGGUAAUAGCAUUCACAUCCGGCCCCUAAUCCCCAACUCCAAAAACUUACUAAAAAUAGUAAUCACUCAAAAAUCUUUACAAAUUUUAAAAGUUUCUUCCAUCCCAUUCCCCAUAUUCAAUCUCUAUACUCGUAAAAGUAUAAGAUAAGACUUGAUAUUUAAUAAAAUAAUAAUGGAAUGAUUAUGAAAUGGAGGAUGAAUAGUGUAUGAGGGAUGAAUAGUGAAACCCCAAAUAUGAGGAUUUAUUUUUAGUCCCCAAAACCAAACUCUAUUUUGGGGUUGCGGAUGUAGACAAUAUUUUUACAAAAGUUAGUAGAUUUUUUUUAAAUUAUGAUUUGGGGUUUCAAAUGUGAAUGCUCUAAGAUUCAAACAAAUGACCCUUAAAUCUUAGAUAUUUCAAAAUCCUAACUGAAUCGCUCACUUCGGAUUUUUUCAGAUGAACCACAGUCCAAAGCCUUGGAUAAAAGAGAGGAGCUAACACUUGGGUCUGGAACUCUUGUGUCAUAGAUGUAAAUAACUAUUUUUUUUUUGAAGAAAAAAAAACCUAUUACCCGAUACGUAUCUUUUAAAGUCUAAAGCAUAAAUUAGCGAGUUCUUAAUUACUUUUAUUUAUUGUGUGAAAAUCUCAUACCAGUCCUUUAUAACAAGAGCGACAGUUGUACACAAGUGCAAAUCUGGGGUGGAGCUUCCCUGCAUGUAUAUGCAGUACACACAUAUUCAAAUUGUUGCAUUAUGUACUCAACCAUAACUUUCAAUUGGCUAUAAUAGAGUGAAAAAAGUUUUCAGUUGGCAAAAACCUCCAACAAAACUACCGAAACGCAUGCACUCAUCUUCUCUAUCUAACUUGCUCCUGCUCUCUCCCUCUCUAAAGUCUUUCAACUCCAUGCCCACAUUCUCAAAUCAGACCUCCAAGUAAUCCCUCUCAUUUCCCCCAACUUAAUCAACUUCUACUCCAAAACGCAGCUUCGCCUCAACCAAGGUUUUUCAAGAAUCGCCUGUGAAAUCAUCAAUUACGUGAAGCCUGUUGGGCCAUAGUCCAGACUCCAGAGCCCCCCAGGAAAUGAGAUAUAAUUAGGGAAUGAAGACAACUAGAGAAGGGGUUGGCCAUAUUGAGAAGAGAGGACAUUGUAGUAGUAGAAGGUUAAGAGUGAGAAGACAUUCCCACUCUUAUCCCACCCAACAGAGCCCAUGAGGGUUAAUUCAUGAUUGUGUAAAUUUAGUAAAUCACUAAGGGGCAAUUCCCUUGUGAGUUGCAACACUGAUCGAUCUUUCUAAUAAUUUAGCUUUAGAGGGCCACACAUAUUAGUUAAAGUAAAGAAUAGUAAAAUUUAGUUAAAUGUAUAAUAAUUUCAUUCCUUUCACUAUUCCAUUCUUAUCACCCUUAACUAGAGUUCAAACCCUGAAGCAACGCUUCAUUCGUUAUUAUAUCUAUUUUUCAUUCCUUAUUAUAUUUGUUUUCUAACCCAAAUCUUAUCACAUAAAAUUUGCAGUCACUCAUUUUAUUCAAAGUUCUCCCUCAUGCACUAUACUAUUUUCUUUUACUUAUACUCAUUCCAUUCGAUUCGAUUCCAUUCCAUUCACCCCAACCAAACACAGCGCUAAUAUCCUGAAUAUCACGAUUGAAAAAAUGUACCCGAAUACUAUUUAUUAACGCUACAUAAAGUAGCGUUUGGGAUAUUCAUCAAAACACUGCAUCGUUCGUUUAACCUUCCGUUGAGAUUAAAAUAACAGAAGGCAUUUUAUGUAGCGUUUUGUUAGGAUUGGAAAGAGCAGAACAAUAUAUCGUGUAGCAUUUUGCUAGGAUUAAGCUACAUAAUCUACCGUCUUCAUCUCAAAUUGAAAAUGCUAAAUUGUUCGACGUUAAUAACCUGUAUUUGAGAUCGUUUUUCACAACUCUUUUAUUUCGCACAUUAUUUCCAAAUUUUGUGAGAUCCAAGUCCAUUUUCAAAACUUGGUAUACAUCUCGCGCGCAUGAGAUUUCGAAUUCGUUUAACUUGUAAUUAUAGACAGUUAAACCUCUUUAAAAUAAUAACGCUGGCACCAAAAAAAAAAUUACUUUAUCGAGUUUAUUAUUUUAUUGAGAGUAAACAUACACUAUUUACAUUAUGUUGGGAUUAAAAAAAAUAUUACCUUUAAUGAGGAAAUUACUUUAGCAAUUAUUAUUUAAUCGAGUUGUAUUAAUCGGGGUUCAACCGUAAAUUUUGAGCGUCUAAACAAAAUUAAGUGCCCAUUUUGUGUGGCAUGACUGCAUGAGAGAAAUUUUACGAAAAAUGCUUCUGGAAACAACUAGUAUAAAAUAUCUCCGGCACCACCCUUCCAAAGUAUCUCUACUUUUCCUGAAAAGCCAGCACAAAGGUGCGAAGAUCCAAGCAAAAAACCGGCAUUAUUUUUAAAAAAAAAAAAUACUCCAUCCGUCUCAAUUUAUACGUCCUUUUGAAAAAAAACAAUAUAUAUUAAAAAAAUAGUUGGUUAGAUAUAAUUUUAUCUCAUGUAUCAUUUAUUAGUACAUUGAUAAAGGAGAAUAGAGUUAAGUUUCAAAAAAAUCACAAUAAAUAUAGAAAUUUAGUGCAUUGAGAAAUGAGAAUAAUAUUGAGUUUCAAAAAAGUCAUAAUUAAUAUAGAGAUAAAUUUGUAUUGAAAGAAGAGAGGGGCAAGUAUAUUUGGACAAAAUUUUUUCUCAAAAAGAGACUUAUAAAAUGAGACGGAGGGAGUACUUUAUCCCACUCAUAUAAAACAAAUUAUUAUUUAAUACGUAUUUUAUGAUUUUGAAUAUAUUUUAUAACUUUCUUUUUAAAAAAUUUAUGAAUAAAAAUUUGAAUAUUAAAUUUUAUUUAAGAAAUAUAUCAAACUAACUUAUGGAACUAUAUAUUGAUUGAGUGUCAGAAAUAUUCAUGUUUACUGGUGUGCGCGUAUAAGCACGUGGUAAGUGCAUAAUUUUAUAAAUUUGAUUAUUUUUACUGGUCUCAUACUUGACCCAUACUUUAACGAUUUUUCUAGUGUGUGCCCAUAGACACAUAAUAAGCAUAAAAUUUGAAAGUUUUUCUAUAUUUUGAUUGGCUUACACUCUUUUAAUAAUGAUAAUAAUGAUGGCCCCUUUGCAUUCACACCAACCACCAAUGAAAACAUACCAAAUUUAUGAGUUUCAAACCCAUAGGCACAUAGUAGACAAACUCAUACUUUAAUAAUGAUGAAUCCUCUGUUAUAGAGUAACUUAUACCAUUACUACAACUAAAAUUUCUCACACACGCUACACAAACCCUUAGUGUUAUUGUCAAUUUAAUGAUACUAGUAAGCAAAUUCACCGCCCUGUUGAUAUACUGUAGCAGUUAUCUCUGUUCAUAUCAAUCGCCAAAUUUUAAUCUCAAACAAACCGACCAUGUUAAAAACAUAUAAUAAGUUGAUAUUUUUCGUUAUCAUCACCGGAGUUGGCUAGGGCGAGCUGAACGACACAAAAAUGGGGAGAAAGAAGCUAGAAAUCAAGCGAAUCGAAGAUAAGUGCAAUCGACAAGUCACUUUCUCCAAGCGAAGAACUGGAUUGCUCAAGAAAGCUAAACAGCUUUCUAUUCUCUGUGACGCCCAAAUCGGUGUUAUUAUUCGCUCCAACCGCGGCAAACUCUACGAAUUCUCCCACGCCACCAGGUUAUUUUCAUCAUCCUCUCUCUGUUUUAACAGUUUUUACUUUAUUUUUCGUUCGAAUUUUGUGUUUAUAUUUGCGCCUAGUUGAUUCCAACGUACUGUUUUUCGAUGUAUUGAGUUGAAUUGUUCCAUUGUGUAUAUAUAUGUUAUAUAUGUUGGUAGACCUGCAUGGAGUUUUUUCAGAUUUGAUAUAUCAUUUCUGUUAGGUCGUACUUGGCGCGAUGUUCGAGUUUCCGCUCGUUUAUCGGUUAGGUCAAGGAUUUAUAUGUUUAUGGAUUCCAUUUGAAUUCCUUCGCUUAACAUAUUCAUUGUACUUCUAAGUUGAUGUUAUUCAUGGAGGAUGAAGUACUCUGUAUGAUUGUACUUUGAAUUGACACUUUGUAGGAUAUAAGAUACUCUUAUUGUAUGUAUAAAUUGACAUUUUGUAGUGUAGGAUUAUAUACUUACUACUAUUAACAUAGAAAUAUAUCAAUUUGAUCAAGUAUUGACAUGGGACCACUACUCCGAGCAAUUUUUAGACUAUGUGCCUGUUCGGCUGCCAAGACUUUUGUUUUUUACUUUUCUUGACCUGUUUGUAUGAAAAGUCUGAAGUACCUAUAAAAAACUGAGAAUACUAACUUUUGUUUCAGGACUUUUACUUCUUUCACAAACAAUUUAAUCACUUAUAAAUCUUAAUUUACUUCUCACCUCUAAUUCACUUCUUUACUUAAGAUAAAGAGCAAUUUUUUUUCUGUUCAACCAAACGUCCCGUAUAUCAGAAAGUUGAAAGUUACUCGAGGCUAUUCGAUUGUGCCGUUUGGAUUGGACCGAUUCAAGUGUUUAGCCAAAGUAUCAGAUUGUACCACAAAACCCAAUUUGAGUUGCUCUUGUUUAACCCGUUUAUUUCAAGGUGCUUGACCAACGUAAUUAGCUUUCCAAGGGCUUAAAACAAUCCACACAUGUGUUCAUUUUAUUUUUUUUGAGAAAGAUAUGUGUUCAUUUCUUUAACCAAUGAUAAUGAGUGAUAUUAAGCGCUUGAUUGGCUACCCAGAAGCGGGAUUUUUAUAGUAAGAAGGUGAAUUUUGAUUUUCCUGGACCAUUUAUAUGAAAAAACAAUAGUACUUUGAAGAAGAUUCAAAGGGAGAAGUAAAAAGUUGAAUUCCAUUCAAUUUUUCCAGUAACACUCUUGCUUCUUUCGAUUACCGAUCAUUCUAACUAAAAUUAUACAAAUAUUAUUACCAAUCAUUCUAAAAAAUAUUAUCUAAACACCUAAAGUAACUUACUGGUCACAUUAAACCAUAAUCUUGUAAUCCACUUAGUCAAACAGUUCCAUAAUGGUGGCUUACUUUUGUUUUCAAUAAUCACUUACUUUUCUAAACUAUUUUAAGUUAUUUCUUGUUGAGAAUAUUUUUUUUCUCGAAGACUCUAUUACAGCUUUCAAUUUAUAUUUCAAUUAUAUGUUUAUAUUUUCAUAAUGUGAUUGUGUACCAAAUUUUCUAUUCUAACUAUCAAUAUGUUCCAAUUAUAUGUUUAUAUAUUCCUAUUUCGUAAUAUGAUUGUGUUUCAAAUCUGAUACCUACAAGUUUCAUACAAAAUAGUUAAAUACACGGUAAUUAAACUAAAAUCAAUAAAUAUAUCAAAAUGCCUUAUAAAACUGUGGAAGUUACUUACUUCCAGCGUCCCAACAGGUUGUUUACUUUGUAAUGUUUGAACGCAUUUUGAGACUCGUAUAAAGUAUAGUUUCAUAAAGUUUUAUAAUUUUUUAUUUUUAAAUAAAAAUUUAAGCAUCAAGCUUUUAUUUAGGGAAAUUUUUUUUUGGAAAAAAUAUUGUACUUUAUACUUUAUAAAAAUCUCAAAAUGCGUCCAAAAAAAUAACCUAAAGAAACUGUUGGGGACAGAGGAAGUAACAUUUUGUUUGAACAUAAAAAAUAUGUGAGAAAGCGAAGAUACUUUUGUUUAGAAGCAUUUAGGACAUAUAUUUUUAUCUUAAAUAUUUUUCAUUUAAAAUCUUAUUUAUAGUUGCAGCAUAAUUUAAUUAUAUAUCCAAAUUUUUCAUCAAACGAUAAAUUCAUUCUACAAUUAGUUUAUUUGACCCAAAGUACAAGUAUAAAACAAAAUAUAUAAGUUAUUAAUAUUAAAAUUUCAUAACAUACAACUUUAACAAAAACAUUAAAGAGCUUAGUAUUAUUAAAACUGUCUGAGUUACCAGCAAGUGUAUAUUGUUUUGCUAUAUACAAAAGAAUGAUAAUAAUGUUGCUAAGACUUAUGAUUUUGUGCUGUAACAAGAUUAUUUUAUAAAAUGAGAUAGUUUUGUAAUAAGAAACUUACAAAAAAUGAUCUUCAAAUAUCAAUGAUUUUUUAUGACAUACUGUGGGACAUGAUGAUUUACAUUUGUUCACUUAGUAAUUAUGAUGAUUCAAAACAAGUUUCAUUCCUCUCCUUAUUUCCAUUUACUCAUAAAAGGUCAAAGAGUUGACCGUAUAUAUUAUUAGUCAUUGUGAAAUAUUCGGCGUCAAGGACAUUUGGAAUUCCAUCCACGAAUUGGAAUUAUGAUACAUAUAGAUAUAAAUGGUCUAGGUUUUCGGUAUUCACUUUAUUUUUGAACGAGAGAGACCCUCCUUUUUCUGUUAGGAUUGCAAAUCCCGUAUUUUACAUAUCGUCCUUUAUUUAUGAUAUUAGAAAUUAGGACAUCUUUAUGUUUAUUUUCAUAGAUGACAUUAUUAGUAAUAGCUUGUCUUAUAUCUUGUAAUGUUUAGUACAAAAUAAUUAUAAAAAUAAAGGAAUUAUGACGUUCAACAAUUCAUAGUGAACAUAAAUCAAAUCCAGAUAAGUUUAAUUAAUUUCAUAUUAUUUACGAAAUAAAACAAACUUCAUGUAAGACAUAAUCACAUAUAAGCAUUAAAUUAUCCAAAUUGUAAAUUUAUAUACAGUAUUUCGACCAUAACCAUUUUUAGAAGUAUAAAUAACUCUAUCACACAAAGUCCUUAAUGACUUGAAGACACUAAUGACUUCUGUUAUGAUGAACAAGUUCCUUGUCUAUUGUCAUUCAUUCAUAUCUUACAAAAGGCUUUUAAGAACCAGUGAAUAGAGACUAAGGCCCUUGUUUAACACUUUCAAAACCUUUAUAUAAUUUUUAAAUUAUAUAUUACAGAUAUGAUGAAUCUUUCAAAUUUGAUACUCAAAUUGGUUUUCUUUAAAAUUGAUCGAAAUAAACACAUAAUAAUAAAUAAUAAUAGCGCUCCAAUCUUGAAUCAAAUGAAAAAUGACAGAUAAUUUUAUUAAAAAUUACUAGGUCAUUUUAAGUUGGGUCAUAGUGUCAUGAUAAACGAAAAUUGUUGUAAAAUUGCUAUUAAGAUGUCAGUAGAUGUCUUCGUUUUUCGUAAUACUAUUCCCACAUAGACAACUACUCUAAUUAUAGUAACACGAACAAAGUCGUGUCUUCAUUCCAAAUGGCCUCGAAACAUGACCACCACACAAUCAUUCACACACAUUCUACCAUAGAAACAAAAGGAAAGAAUAAUAAAAUCCACUAGUAAAUACCAUAAAAAAAAAGGAUAUUUAUAUGUAUGCGUGUGUAACGCCCUUACAUAAAAGAUAAUAAUAAAAACACUAUAAUAAUAAUUCAUAUAUCUUAAAGGGAUGGUUAUGAUUAAAAUCAACUAAGUUUGAUAUAUAAGAUCCUACAUCAAAUCUCAUCUUUAUAAGUGAAAUGUUACGAGAUCAUGUAUAGAUUCCAACAUAAAAUUAUACAUACAUUUUUUUUAACAAUGAAAUUUAUACAAAAUCAUGUUACGACUAAUCCAACUUUGUUAUUAACUUCAUGUUAGAUUAUAAAAUUUUCAAAAUAAGAGUCUUAACUAUUUUCAAAUUAGAAUCUAAACGAAGUUUUAGGUUAGAUUCUGUAUAUUCUUUACCCUUUGUUAAAUUUUAUGAAAUACUAUUAUAUAGAGUACUAAUUGAAAAUCAAUAUGUCUUGCUUAUGUUCUACAAUAUUUUAUAUGUAAAAUGUGUGAGUGUAUGUAUUCAAUUAAUAUUCCAUAUAUGACAUAUAAUAAUAUUUUGUAUGUAGAACAUGUCGCAAGAUAUAUAACUCUCCGGUUAGUGCUUCAUUUAAAGUAUUUUAAAUUAUAAUAAUUGUCAAGUAAUUUUACUAAUACAAAGAAUAUCAUACUUACCUUGAAAAUAAUGAAAUAGUUAUAUUUGAGAAGCAUUUGAAAACACAACUAACAAAGUAAAAUUUUGAUAAGAAUAUGUGUGCGGGAUUUUGGGGUGUUUCGAAGCCUUGCUCCCGAUAUCGUCGAGCUUAGGGUUUGGGAAAAACUUUAAACGCAGAUAUCUUUCCCAUAAAUGAUAAAUAUUUUGCCCCCGGGUUGAAAAUGUGAGAGAAGAAAAAAGAUAAGAAAAGAAAAUUCUAAUAUUUUCACAUUGUCAUUUCCACGUUAUCGUGCUACUUAGAUUUUUCGGAGUUUCAAAAAGAAUAAAAAAGGUGGAAAAGUAAAAUUCAUAAUAUUUUGUAAUUUAAAGUCUGUUUCUAUUUGGGAAUGAUUAAGAGAGAUAAGCUCACAAAUUGUAUAUAAAAUAAAAUUUCUCUCAAUCAAAAAAUCUUCAACGCACAUCAUUGAAAAGGGGUUAAUUAUCAACUAGGUCACUUUUUACACUAGAAAAUAUCAAAACCGGAUCACUCGAAAAUUUUUGGUCUCAUUUGAAUCAUUAAAGUCAUAAAAUGUAUCAAGUAGAUACCUCUAAUAUUUUUUCGAGAAGAAAACUUUAUUUUUCAUUGAGUUCCACACAUUUUUCUUGGCUGCUAGUAUAAUCAAAUGAUGAAAGUUUAUGAAUUCUAGUAUUUAUGAUAAUAUAUUGAGAUUUUAAGAAAUUUAUUUAUUAUUUAUUUGAUAUAAAUUAAACAAAAUAAUUUUAAAAUUAAAAAUAAAUAGUAAAUAAAUUUUUUAAAAUCUUAAUAUAUUAUCAUAAAUACUAGAAUUCAUAACCUUUCAUUUGAUUAUACUAACAGCCAAAAAAGAUGUGUGAAACUCAAUGAAAAAUAAAGUUUACUUCUCGAAAAGAUAUUAGAGGUAUCUAUUUGAUAUUUUUUAUGACUUUAGUGAUUCGAAUUAGACCAAAAAUUUCCGAGUGAUCCACUUGAUAUUUUCUGGUGUAAAAGGUGACCUAAUUGAUGAUUAACCCCAUUGAAAAGUAAUUAAUUUCUCGUCUUGUAUCUUUUCUUUUUCCACUUAAAACUCUCGAGCACAAAGGCCCUUGUCGUGCCCACCAAGUCUAUCAUUUCACCAAUGAGUAUCUAAAUAAGAGCGAUUUUAUUCUACUCACUUAAUCUUUCAACAGAAACAGAAUAAGAAAUUGGCUACGACUACAAUGUAACAAUGUGAUUGUAGUAAUAGAAAAAAUAAUGAUGAAAAAGCAUAUAUUUGAUAGAGAAUUGGGUCUUCUUAUAUAUGCUCGUUCAGUUUGAAGAUAGAAGAUAUCUAAAAAUAGGCUUCAUAUAUUACAUGAUACUAACAUUUAUUUAAUAACGUUAUUUACAGCUUGAAUGAAGUUCUUCAAAAAUAUCAUGAUGUCACUGAUAUUGAGGAUAGAGAAACCAUCGGAAUCUUUGAGCCUAAGGUAAUAAUAUUCUCAUGCUUCAUGUUCAAUAUUUUUUAUGACAACUUAUUUUUUCAUGCAUUAUUAGAUGUACAAAUAGAAUACUUGCAUAUCAUUUAUAUAAAAUUUUCUUUUUUGUUAGAAAAGUUGAAGAUUCGAUUUUUUUGAAAAAACUAAAAUUAUUAUGUAUAAGUGUUUAUUUUAAAAUUUUGGGAUGGGAGAGUAUAAGUUACUUAGGAUGUUGUCUUGUUAGGUUGUCCAUAAUCUAAUUAUUCAACAAAACCACCCCCGAAAGAUGAAAUAUCUUUGAAAGAUUGUUGGUUAUACUUGGCCAUGAACUGAACUACAAUUUCCGGAGUUCUCGAUGUCGAUGUGAGACCGAGAUGUUAUAUAGAAUGCACUUUAUUGAUCUAUAUACCUACUGGGACGGAAAUGGUGGGGGAUGAUUGGUGGUUACUACUAAAUGAUGUAUUUUGUUUAGAUGAAUGUCAUAAUUAAUCCAAUUAUACUCCAUUGAUACAAUUUAUUUGAUCACACCGCCCAAAAAUCUAACAUGGUUUUAACCUUUUAUGACCAUAUUGAACUUUUAAUCUAUAGGGGUGAUGUUUUCAAGUCUAAGUGUGAAAUUUAUCUGAUUGGUAUAUAUAGUAGUUUAAGGUAUCCUUCAACUGGAACGUUAUUUAGAAAAAUCUAUGUUAAUGCUGUGAUGGUUUUUUGUGGAUAGAGCUCAAAAUAUGCAGGGAAGCAGGCAGAUGAAAAUCUCUUGCCAAGAGUUCAAAGGCAAGUGCUCUCUCCUGUAUGAAUGUUAACCAACAUGUUACUUGUGGAUUGUAUUGUGAUACACCUUACUUAAGUCUCAAUUUUGACUAGGUACCUAGCUGAGCUUGAUUUCGACCAGCUCCAUGUGCCUGACCUGGUGCAACUAGAGAAAGAACUAGAAAGUGCACUGGUACAAACAAAAGCAGCAAAGAUCCUUGUCAAUGUAUGAACGUCUACCCUUUAUAUUUUAUUUAAUUGGCAGUAAACGUCUUAAAUGCCUAAUUCAACAUUUAUACAUUUAUCGUUUGAAAAAAAGCCAAUUCUGGCCAAAAUGAUGAAUCGUGUGUUGUCUUUGGACAACUGGAGACUACAGAAUAAGUUUGUGACAAUGUUAUUGCUGCUGCUAGCUUCUUAGCGGUAAGAAAAUAGCUCUAGUGUCUGAACGGAACAGCUUCCAUGCUCAUUUGUAGUCCUUAGUCAGGCCUAAUACUGGUGUGGAAGUCUGUGUUAAAGUGUGAUGAGGUAGUAGCCAGCUGACCCUGGUUUAUAAUAAAGCCUUAGAUGUGUUGGAAUGGUCUAUAUACUAUUACUAUAUAUAGUGGGGAAUAGCUGCGAUUGUAUAAGGGGUCGUUUGGUUCAUGGGUAUGAGGAAUCAGGUAUGGGGUUUGUCCAUUUCAAACUCAUACCUGGUGUUUGGUUGGAAAAAAUAAAAUUUGAAACCCAUACCUUAAACCCCCAAGGUAUGGAUUUUUGAUUCCCAAGUCGGGAGGUGGGUAUGAGAUAGGGGUAUCAGAUUCAUUCAUUUUUUAUUUUUUUUGUCUCUGUUUUAGUAAUGAAAACAUUUGAUACAAAAUUAAAUCAAUGAUGCAAAAAUAUAUAAAUAUAAUAAUUUUAUUAAUAUUUUUAAUUAAUAUAAAUUAAUAACUUAUUCUUUUACAAAAAUUGUAUAUAUUGAUUCCAGCACUCAACCAAACACAUGAUAUCAGAUAUGAUACCUCAAACUCAUACCAACUUAACCCGAUUCCUCAUUCCAACCCCAUACCACUCCUCGAACCAAACGACCCCUAAUAUGUAUUCAUGAUGUUUAUGGUGUUUGAGGAUUUUUAAAUCUGAACAUAUUAACAUUUCUCCUUAUAAUUUCUCCUAUCUUCUCUUUAAAAUCUCUGAAUUGGAGUUGUAUUAGUUUUUAUUCUAUUUUAUUCUUUGAGACAAAUUCUCUUGUCCAUAGUUCCAUCUCCUUUGACAGUAAAGGGACAGAAGUGUACUUUGUUUAUGCUAGUAUGUCCUAUGUUCAAAGCAUGGUGAUUCUCGCUUGCUCUGAAAACCUAACUACAAACGAUUGCCUACAUAAAACAAUUUGGUUAAGAAUUAUGUUGACUAUAUGUUAUUCAGCUCUCCAGUUCAAACUUAAACAUUGAGCCUCCGAGACAGUUUUUCCUCUUCUGCAAUAACAACGCAUUAUUUGCACCCAAAAAGACAUGCUGAUAUGUUAAGACUUCUUAUACCAGGAUUGUGAAAUCAAACUUUAAAUUGGUGAGAUUUCGGAGCUCAUAGCAUAGCAAUAGUUUUUACUUCUAUUUUUAGCAUGUUCUUAUCUAGAACAGGGCAUUCCUACUUUCAAGAACUAUAUGAUUUUCAGAUACUAAGCUUAAAAUAUGGAAGUCCUUUAAGGUAAACAGGAUACCUGAAAUUCAGUAGAGACUUGUUGCGGGGUAUGUUCGGUUUUUGAUGCCCCCACACUGCCAGUCGGAUUUGGCCACGGUACACAGACAUUCAGAUUCACUCCCAUGUCUGCCACUCUCUUGACGAAUUCUAUUAACUUAUAUUGCGGAUGAUUCUUUUCUGGGUGAUUAGUUCGCGAAACACCUUAAUGCCCUUCAGAGAUCAUAUGCUAUACCUAUACUAUGAGAAUCAUAGUGAGUAUACCUGCUGGGACCAACAGAGACUAUGCCAGUGAAUCGCUAAAUUAUUCACUAAAUUGGCCUCUCUUGUUUAUUCUAUGGACAUGUCUACUUAAUUAAUAGAAUGAUUUGAAACUAAUUCUGUUCAUAGUACGUAUCUGUAUAAGUUUAUAUGACUGCCUAGAGUAUGUGCUUGCAAGCUCAAGAUUUAUAGAUGCAUAUACUACUGUAUACCAUCUUGUUUUAAUAUGUACUAGGUCCACUAUAUUCAUUUUAUUUUCCUUAUUUGGCAGACGCAGCAGAUGAUGAAACCAGUAACAACUCUCCAAGAAAAGGUACCCCUCGUUUAAACAUUUUUAUGUCAACUACUACGAGAUUCGUGUUUAUACUACUGUAUAAAGGUUUCUUAACUAUAUGUCCCAACCUUCUUGUCAUGCAACAUAUAUAAGAAGCCAAAAAUUGUACAGUGUCGCACCUGAACAAAUUUCAUUUUGUUAAUUUCAAAUUAGUUUACAAAUUAGUAGGCUGUCUCCACUAACCUUGUGGACUUAUGGUCGAUCAAUCAUAUCUUUACCAAUGUCUACAGCCCUUGAACUUGGACUGCUAAAAUCAAUAUGGAACUUCUAUACUGUUGCCUACAUAGACUAUACAUUUAACUAAAGUAUAAUAUUAAUAUAUUGUGUCGAUGAUUAUUUUUAACCUGAAGUGGAUUCUGUCAGAUAACAUUUAUAACAAUCGGGCUAAGUUAUACUAUUUUUCACUAAUUCUUAAAAUCUAAAAAGUUGAAUAUACCUAUAUGCAAAUCAAUUAUUCUAAAAUUUUUAAAAACUGGAUAUACAUAAAUAAACAAGAUUAGCACAGACUGCAAUUCUUUUUAUAUAAUAUAUGUGAUGUAAUUUUAUGUUUCAAGUAGGGUUUGAUUUUUCCUGACAAAAAAAAAAGUAGGGUUUGAUUUUUGAAUUUAUUCAGAUUGCAUUGUAUUUCCAUAGUCCCUGAACCAGAAUCCUAUGUUUUUGGUCUUUAUACUUUCAAUCUGGUUUUGUAUCUAUUCGGUUUUGCAUUAAAUUUCAAAUUGUUAUGUUGGAUAACCAGAACCAAAAUUCAUUGUGUGUGGUCCUUCGAUUGUCAAUUUGAUUUGGAUAUAAUUUUAAUUGAUCAGUUCGAGGGUUUGAGUGGUGUUUACUUACUAAAUUCCCAAUCGAAUUGACCAACUACCAUUCUUAUAUAUCAAGCAUACAUAGCAUAUGUAACAAGAUCAUAACGUUAACAGAAAUAAGUUUAGAUUGCAUCUGGGAACAUUUAAUUCAUUUCAAAUGACAUGAUUUGAGGUGUCUUUUCAAAUUUUCAGUUUUAUACUAGUAUUUGAAUGACCGUGUUUCAAAUGAAUUCAAAUCCAACUUUUUUUUGUGUAUCCAAACAUGCCAUUUGAUCAAUUUCAGGAUUCAAAUGAAAUCCAAGUUCCCAAACACGUCUUUAAAAAAUUGUAAUGACUUGUUGCUUUUGCUUACCUAUGUGCAGAAAAAGUUGCUGAGAGAAGAAAAUGAGCUCCUGGCGCAGCAGGUAGUACCAGCGCAAAUAUAUUUCCUACGCAUCAUUUUACAGUGGAGGCGCACCAUUAAUGAUUUUCUAACUUGUUGGCAAACAGAUAGCUGCAAUGGCAAAGGAAAACACAGCUGCCAAGGACAAGACCGGGGAGGCUGCAAAUAAUGAGACGCUCAUGUUGCUUUGUUAGAUCUCUGCUCAAAAUGUCCGAUACAACCAAAGCAUUUCACAACUGUUGUUUCUAAAUCCGAGCGCUUUGUUUCUCUGGUCUCUCUAAUGUUUACUUGUGUGUGUUGGUUUCAAUUAAUAAACUGUGUAAACUGUGUGCUGUGUGUUCUGUUUUUGCAUUUCUCAGAAAUUACUUUCAUAAUCCUCCAAUAGUUUUUUAAGGUUUUUUCCUUCAUACUGUUUUUCCUGGAAAUUUCCUUCAGUCCUGGUAGAGUGAUAGUAACCUAACUAGGAAAAUGCGGAGAAAAUUCCAGCAAGGUUAGGCGACGUAGAGGACAGCAAAGGAGUGAGUCAUGUACACGAGAUAGGAAGCAUGAGUACGGGUGCAGGCACGGGAUGCGCAGUACAGUAAUACAGGAAUUCGAUAAAUUUAAAAAUAUGGAGAUUCGGGUGUGGGGAUUCAGCAAAUGUAAAUAUAUUUAUAAUACUGGCUAGCUUGUUUUCCUGCAUGCACUUGACACUGCACCCACCGGUUUCUGUAAAAUUGAAUGGGCCACGUGAUACACACGUGACAUGACAUCUGGAGCUUGUAUAGCUCUCUCCAUAUGUCCUUGUUCAUCGCAGACUAGGCCCGGCAAUUUGACACGUAACACGCUAAAACGAAACGAAACGACACGAAAAAAAUGGAUAUGAGUUUUGAUUUUUGAUACACGAAAGUACACGAAUAUAAAAUUACACGAAAAAUUUCGUGUCGUAUAUGAGUUUUCAUUUUGGGUACACGAAAUACUUGUACAUAUUUUUUAUUAUAAAUAUGUUAUAAUAUAUUAUAUAUAUAAUUGUGUAAAAUAUAUAUAUUUAUAUGUAUAAAUAUAUAUAUAGGGGAGGGUUCUGGUACAAACUUACAAACUUUUUUGUUCAACAGAUAUAUAACUUGAGUUCAACAUUUUUUUAAGAUAUUUUGUUGAACAUCGAUUAAAAUUGUGUUGGAGAAGUACAUAAACUAAUUUUUCAAUGUAAGAACUAAGUUAAACGUAUUAUAUAACUAAUANNNNNNNNNNNNNNNNNNNNNNNNNNNNNNNNNNNNNNNNNNNNNNNNNNNNNNNNNNNNNNNNNNNNNNNNNNNNNNNNNNNNNNNNNNNNNNNNNNNNNNNNNNNNNNNNNNNNNNNNNNNNNNNNNNNNNNNNNNNNNNNNNNNNNNNNNNNNNNNNNNNNNNNNNNNNNNNNNNNNNNNNNNNNNNNNNNNNNNNCUCUCUCUCUCUCUCUCUCUCUCUCUAUCUCUAUAUAUAUAUAUAUAUAUAUAUAUAUAUAUAUAUAUAUAUAUAUAUAUAUCAUUUAUAUUUAGUAAAAUUAUACAGGAAAAUAUAUAUUAAAACUAAUUUUUGAUUAAAAUUAUAUUAAUAUUUUUAUAUAUAAUAUACACGAAAAGUACACGAAAAAUACACGAACGAUUCGGAUCGGAUACGGGUUUCAAAUUAGAUACACGAAAUCAAUAACGAACGGAUACGAAUUUCACUUUCGAGUACACGAAAUACGAAAAUAUACGAAACGAAACGAUUGCCACCUCUAUUGCAUUGCAGACUCACUCGGGUGAAUUUCACCUGGUAUCCUCGUAGCAGUAACGCUGUACUGAUCCAGCAUUUGAUAACCAAAAACUUGUAUUAUUAUUAAAUAUUAAAUAUAUGUAGAAUAAAUAUCAGAAAUUAAUAAUGUAUAAGACCAUUCAUAUAAUUUAUUGUUAAAUAUUAUUAAAAAAAUAGAGAUGCUUGUAUUUACAAAAUUUAUUUUAUUAUUAAAUUUAUACUUCUUUUUAGGUCUGCUUAAAUCUUCAAACGGCUAGAUCCGCACUUGCUAGUGAUAUUUGGAACAUGAUGAUAAGAAGAAUAAAUAAAGUAUUUGUUUUGAUUCGAUGUAGUUGUUGUUUCACUUGACUUAAAAAAAGUCUUUUUAUUAAUUUUGAGUGAAGAGUUACUUAAAAAUGAAAAUAAUUUUUAAUCUAUAUAUUUGAAUAAAUUUUUGAUAAAACAGUUAGGAUUUACAAUUACAUAAACAUUAAUUAAAAAGUUAGCUUAUAAUUUUUUUACCCACACAACAGUAAGCUGAUUCGCUGAAUAAGCACCCAAACUGGCACAUAUUAUGCAAAAUUUGUACUCCCUCCGUCUCAUUUUAACUGCUUUUGACUUUUUUACACGUAUUUUAAGAUGUUAAAAAAUCACAUGUAGACAUAAUUAAUCUUUAUAAAAUUUAUAUCAAAUAAAAGUUUAGAAUCCAAACUUUAAUUUGAUAUAAGAAUUAAAUAUUUUUAUUGAGUGUAGAUACUAUUUUUUUACACCUCAAUAUACGUGUUAAAAAGUCAAACAUCAGUUAAAAUGGGACAGAGAGAGUAUUUUGUUUUACUUAUUUUGGUAUUUAUUAAAAGUUCAAAAACAAAAAUAUGAGUGAAAGUAAAAUUACAUUAACUAAUUAAUUUACAAUUACAUAAACAUUAAUUAAAAAGUUAGCUUAUAAUUUUUUUACCCACACAACAGUAAGCUGAUUCGCUGAAUAAGCACCCAAACUGGCACAUAUUAUGCAAAAUUUGUAUUUUGUUUUACUUAUUUUGGUAUUUAUUAAAAGUUCAAAAACAAAAAUAUGAGUGAAAGUAAAAUUACAUUAACUAAUUAAUAUUUUCCAUUUAGAACUCGAGAGUCGAGAGCAGUGUGCUGGGCUGGGGUGAUAACUACUGGGCUGGUCCGCUGGUCCAUUGUAUUUGGUCCCUGAUUCUGACUUUUAGCCCUUUACUAGCAUACAGUAGUUCAAAAAGUCUCUGUUUUAACGGGUUAACUGCCUUUUAUUUAUUUUUUUUGAUAAAUGAAUUAAUUUAAUAAUAAAAGGUCUUCCUGACAACAAAAUAAUAAUAAUAAGUCUUACGACAUCCACAUAAAGCGUCGCGUCGAAUAAAAAACCACAGAAACAAUUACCGAUUAAUUCAUUUUUCUUAAACAUAAAAUCACGUGAUUUGGUAAAGAUGAUAUAUACACAAACUUCGUUACUUUCGCUUCUGUCAUAACUAGUUUGAGUUAUCGACUGAGUUAUCCCCUAACAACUUUUAUUACUAAAUCAAACACCAUACUCACACAAAUGGUGAGAAAAUAACAAAACUAACAUAAACGGUGAGACAACAAAAACCAAAACCACAACCUAGCAAGCUUAAAUCUGCAAAUGCGUAAAUGAAAUAUUAGCUAAAUCAAGACAAUCCUUAGAUCUGGGAAAUAAGCCCACAAAAACAAGAUAACCCGGACCACUUUCGAGAACAAAAUCACUAGGAAGAACGAGAAAUGUGUAACCCCGUGAAAUUGAUAUCUGAUAACUAAUUAGUUACUCCCUUCGUCCCAAUGAAUUAUAUACAUUGGGAUCGGACACGGAGACCAAGAAAAAGUGUAUGAAAUGAGUAAUGUUAGAUGGAAAGUGGGUACAGUGGUGGGACCCACAUAUUUUUUAAUAAUAGAUUUGAGAUAGUGGAGUAAAGUAGUGGUUGUAAUAGUGUUUUUAUUAUUAUAUAAUGGAGAUGGAGAAUGUAGUGGGUGUAGUAAUGUUUUAUAUUAUAAAAAGUUGCUAUUUUGAUGAUGGGACAUUCUAAAAAAGAAACUGUAUAGAAUUGAUCGGGACGGAAAGAGUAUUACUUAUUCUAUUAAUUCAUACCUUGCAAUCUUGCAUCUCUAUUCCCGUUUUUUGACGCCACGUUUUUUACAAACCCAAAAAUCUUGGACACUGCCUAAAAUGGGCCGAGAUCCGUCGGGGCACAGAACUAAACAAGUCUUUUGGGUUGGCCUUGACGCAAUACAUCCUCAUACAGUCAUAAAAUGAGAGGAAUAUAAUCGUGCAAAAAUGGCAUACUGGUUGCUUUCUAGUUUACGAGAGUGACAAUCACCUAAUACAAAGUGCAAUCACUUGCUGGCACAAAUAAUAUCAAGAUUCCAAAUAAUAGACUAGAGCUUCAAUGUCCCCACGUCAAAGCUCACUUUUCAACUUUUAAACAAAAAGUUUAAUUGGGGGCCUUCGCUUUUGCUUGUCAUUUCCCCCUCACAAAAUUGUACUCUUAAGAUAUAUGUUGCCAUGUUGCUACUACAUAAAAAAGACAGCUUGUCAAUAACAAGUGAAUGUUGUCCAAUCAUGUAUCACUUGUUUUUUUUGGUAAUUCAUAAAAGAAGUUUGAAAUUGAUGAUUUGAAGUGCACAUAAAUUUACAUAUAAAAAUUCGUAGUUACUAAACUCGCCAAUUAAAUGAACUAAAUGUCUGAUUAAUUAUUACAAGAUAGUUUGUCUAUGCUGCAACUGCAAGGCACCCAGGACUCCGACAAGACAAGGAUUCCGUAUAAUUUUACUAUCAUAUAUAUUCAACUGUCUAUUACAAUAUAUAAGAUAUUGUAAAAACUCAAUCUUAAAAGAAAAAUAAUCAAUGGACCAAUGUCAAUUUUCUUUUUAAAAAUUUAAUGUCAAAUUUUAAUAUAAUAAUACUUAAAUUUGAAUUAGUAAUAUGAAAUUUUGCAUUAUAUUUUCACCCGUAGUUCGCACAAAUUCAAAAUUUUUAAUAAGAUCAAAUUGAUUACUUGUUUAUUUUUCGAACUCCGACACAAGAGAAAAUAAAUGAUAAUUCUUACAUUCUUACAAUAAAGGGCAAAUUGAGGGCUCGAGUAGAGGCUAACAUGGAUGCAUGCAAAUAUUAAAAAAAAAUUGUAGUUUAAUUUGAAUCUAAUAUAAAUAUGAAUAAUUUAUCACAAAAAAUUUGAAAUUUGUUUACAUAAUGUCGGAUCCGUCCUCGCUGCAUGCAGAUUGCGGUGUACACAUAUUUAGGGGUUGUAUGAUAAAAUAAGCACUUCUUAAUUAAAAUAAAAAAGUGGUUUAGAAGUUAAAAAUCAGUUAAGAUUUAAAAGUGAUUAAAGUGUUUGGAAAAAAAUUUGAAUUUCUAAAACAAAAACUAACCUUCCUAUAUUUUUAUAAGUAUUUCUUGAUUUUUUACGCAAACAAUAAAAAUAAAUACUUCUAACUUAUAAGCUCAUAAGUCGGAUUUUCAAAUAAUAAACAAACACACACUCGUAGUCUUCCUUCGAACUUGUCUUUUUUGACUAAUAUAACAUAGUAAUAUUAUAAUCUAUACGAGUUCUGAAAUUUGAGGAAAUUGAAUAAUGUGAAUGAAAAGAAGUGGAUAAAAUUGUGCGGUCAUCGCUAUCGGAAGUAGAUAAGACGGAGAUCAUGUGGCCCACGCUGACUCCUAACAGCAAAACUAAUUACUGGAAGCCAUCCCCUUAAUUUAUUUCCUAGCGUAUAUUCAAUUAUGGUAUUCAAUAAGUGGCUUGAAGAUAAGAGCACCUCCAUUCGUACACGCAUUAUCGUGCUGUAUCAUUAUUAGUCUUCCUUCCUUGAAACUUGCUUGUAACAACUUCAACAAAAUGGGCAAGUGAAAAUGAAAUUUCGGUACAAACAGAUAGACAAAAAUAUUCAUCCGUUCCUCGAAUCUCUUGUAAUUUUUCAAGAUAACACAUAUUUUAGGAUAUAUAUAAAAUAUAAUGCUCUAUGAUUUAUAAUUUGUGCAAUACAUUAUAUAUUUUAAUAAUUAAUAAUAUUUUAUAUGAGUCUAAAUUAAUAAUUUAGUUUAAAUUGUUGACUAGACUUGCUUAAAUUUUUAAUAGUAUAGAUGACGAAAUAUAAAAAACUUAAUCUAACAAUUGUAAUUAAUUUGAUUUAUGCGAUCCAACGUUUACUAUUCCGGACUUCAAAACAACGAUCGAAUUUUUAAAUGUUUAGUUUUGACAAAUAACAAUAUAUUAUAAAAUUUGAGCAAAAUUAGAACAUCUUCAAAUAUAUGGACUAAAAUGAUAAAACAUUGAUUAUGUAAAAUUCAUUGAAUUUGUAAGUUUUUGUACCCGUUAUUAUGUUUGAGUAUAUUUUAAAAAUAUCAUAUUUUUCUAGAAAAAAAUAUUAUUUCAAAUUGUUGGAAAUGAAUAUAACAUUUUAAAAAGAUAAGAGAUUAUGUGAAAUCUCGAUACGAAUUUCUAAUAGCUCGACGGGUAUAAUUAAUCGACUAUAUAUUUAGAACAAGAAGCCACGAAUUGCUAAUCUUUCACGUAUCUUUGUACUAUAUGUGUAUAUAAACAAUUUUUGUUUUUAAUAUUUUUAAAAUACUCACCUUUAACGAUUUAUCAAUGAAAUCACCAUAACUAUGACCACUUCAUCACAUGGAAUCAUAUUCUUUACAUUUAAUAAAUUUAGAAGUAUGCUCAGAAAGUCGUCGCAAAAAUACGAACGCAGUAUUUACGUUCCAAGCAUCUUUAUAUGAAAUGCCGCGGUGUUUCUUUUACCUCCGGAAAUCAGUUUCAUUUGUAUUACAAUUCAACUCAAUCUGCGUAACCUAACCAUCCCCACAUGCAACACGAAAUUUAAAUAAAUAUUCGAAUCAAACCCCCCAGUUGUCAUACAACAACUAGUUGAAUUCAAAUUAAAUCCUCUCUUCGUUUAACUGUUUUAUUAAAUCAUCGUCAUCUUCAUCACCGCCGAGUUUAUCCGUUUGCCUCGAUUUCAACAAUUUUAUCCUCCCCACCGACUAAUUCUCUCGCUUUAUUCGCGUAUAAAUUAAUUCAUCACCUCCUUGCUUAUUUGUUUCUUCGAUUUCAUUAAAUUUAGCGAUUUUUGUUUUAAUUAUGAUGACGAGACAAGAUCAACAAUCUAGGGUUUUCCAUGAGCUGUCGGCUCUCAUCCUCAACAUCCUGCGAUCUCCGCCGACUCCGAUUCACUUCUCCGAUCACUCUCCGGCGAGUCCGCGGCGGCCGUCGCUGCCGCAGCUGACGCCGGCGGGAUUCGCGUCGCUGCUGCUGGGGAUAUCGUUGGCGAUGAUGCUGUGUGGCUCGGUGACGUUUUUUAUCGGCUUUUUGUUGAUGCCGUGGGUGAUUGGAUUGGUUUUGGUGUUUUAUUUCGUCGGAAUUGUGUCGAGUUUGUCGAUGAUCGGUCGUGCUAUUCUUUGCUACACUUUGUCGCCUCCUUCGCCUCGAAAAGAUGUUCCCGGUACAUUUUCGGCUUGAUAAUUUGUUGUUUCGAUUCGAUUAAUUUUAUGUGUUUAAUAUAUUGAAUGUGGAUUUGUGUGAAUUAUGUGAUUACGUUUCAUGAAUCAUGACAAUAGUAUUUGUGUUCCUGCUAAUUUGAAUGUUUUAGAUAGAGUUAACGGAGAAUAUUCGAGUUGUGUUAGCUAAUUGCCAGAUUUGUUGGAUUGUAAUACAUGGCCAUGCUAGACAUGUCGUGUGCUUGCAAUUUGAAUGUGGAUUUAUAUUUUAUAUGAAGCGUAACUGCAGAAGGUCACAAUUAGCUGGUGAUUGUUUAAUGCUUGAGCUGAUUUCAGUGUUUUGCGUAGAGCUUGUGUAGAAUUUUUUGUUCAGUUGCUAGUGCAACUGUUUUGUUGUCUACAUUUAUGUCGGCACCGUUUUGGUAGCUAAACUUGUGGCUUCUGGGAGUUUGUAUAUAUGCAAGAUAUAUGUUGGUUGUAUUACAUUUAUGAUGGCUUACUGCUUAGCUUAAUUAUGGUAUUGCCUUGUUAUUAGGUUCUAGUUUCUUAACUUUACUAGAGCCGGAUUAAUACGACCAAAUCUUAUUCAGUGCUAAAAUUGGCUCUAUAGCUCUACUGUGAACCAGAUAUAGAAAUGGUUAAUACAUUGCAGAGCCACAUACAAAUGGAUCAAAGAUAGAUGUUGGCUGCUAAGGAGGAAAACGGAGUAUUUAGGUUCUGUUCUAGCAACAAAAUCAGUUUAAAAUGGAGUACAGCCUGAGUUCUGUUAUAGCAAGAAAAAUUACUUUUUUCUACAGUUCUUUUAACUUGUGUGUUCUAAAAUCUCCAUAAUUAUUUGAGUCAAACCAAACUAUACCAACCAUAGUCUCGCCUUUCUGUUUAUGAUUGUGGUCUACAGGAGGGAACAGACAACAUAACACAUUUCCUAUUCCCAUAUUAAAAUUGAUAAUAUACUUUACAUGCAUGUGUAGCUCAUAGCAAACCUCUACCCCAUUUUAAAGUUUAAACUAAUUGUCUACGAGAUUUCACCUAAAUUACUUUGUCAACUGUAAUUUACUUAAAGAGGACCAAAAAUAAACUCUUUAACCAGAUGAAUGUUGGAGAUGAUAUUUCAGACAAUUUCGGAGGUAAGUUUAUGAGUUUGAGGAUAUCUGCAUGUAUAGUUUUUGAGACGUCCUGAAAAUAUGUAGAUUCACUUGAUGCAUAUCAAUUUAAAAAAGAUCAACUACUGCUAGUCAUGUCAGUGCAACAAAUUUGAACUUGAGCUUGUCCUUUUGUAUGUUUCAUUCUGUCCUUUUCAAUUUGGUUACUCCAUUCACUCCACAAGCCAACUGGCUCUUUCAUGAACUUCACCUACAGGUCUAUGGAAUGGUUACCAACAAGACUAGAGGGUCUGUGGUUGAUUCAAAAUUGCCCGGAUCUAGUUUGCAUAUCUAUUUAUGAUAUUAAUCACUAAGGUGAAGAAAUGCAUGGUAAGUCAGACAGCAAUAAAAUGAUAAUUCACAAUUCUCUAUGUUACUAGUAGAGGUGUUCACAGAAUAGAUUAGAAAUUUGAGUGUAUAUUGUCGUCAUUAUCAUCGACGAAGAGUGGCUCCUUACACUGUAUAAAAAAGAACUGUGCUUGCCUUCUCGAAGUUUUGUUCCUUGUUUUCCCCUCAAAAUCUGGAUAGAUUUUGCCUACGACACAGAGUUGCUCAUGUUUUCCUAUGACAUACCAGUACAUGGUAAUAUGAGCCGAAUCCUUCAUGUUAUUUGGGUUUUGGCAAUCCAUAGAAUUUGAUGCUGUCAGACAUGUAAUGGAUUAGACCUUCUGAGUUCUGUAACUGACGGUUGGGGAUGUAGCCUUCAUAAAUAUUAAUGGGUGAUCCAUAUAGACAAAGCCUGCACCUCAAAUCAGGGGAUUAUUAUAUGCUUGUUACUUGAGCUGUUAGUUUGUCAAAAUCCUUUUUACCUUGGUUACUUGUGUUUUGUAUGUGAUAUUCAAUGAAUCAUUGGUCAAUCUUUUUUGUUCUAUUUUUUGCAAGUUUAAGGCACUUGCUAGCUAGCACUUCACUCCAACUCCAGUUUCUAAUAAAUUCUUCCCCUGUUAUCUUUACAGCCUGGAAACUCCUGUGAAGAAGCAGAUAGUAGGACCACGCCUGUGGGACGAUGAUCGAGCAGCACAAACUAUCUUUUGCUACGUGCUGCUAGUAGAAUUUGCCGAAUACUGUAAAGUGUAGUAUCGGAGGUAAUAUGGUUGCACCUCCGGAUGAUACAAAACCAGGACGUGUGGAUAUAUCUUCUCUAGGCGUGAAAGAAGUAGCAGGAAAGUCUUCUACCUGUUUCCAGUUGUUACUAUUUUACCCGAAUCUACGUUUGCUGAUUUCUUUCAUCUUCGAAAGUUGUAUAAUUUUCCUUCUUACAAUCAUCAAUAGAACUUACUAUGUUGAAGUACUAUAUUGAGAUUCCAGACACAGAAACAAAACGACAUGGUGAAGCUCUCAGCAAAACUCUGGAGUCCUGAUGUGUAUAGACACUCUAUAAAAUUUGCGGAGAGGAUGAAUUCACAGAUUAUGAGCAUGUUUGCUUCGGUCUAAAACUCGGUCUUUACAUAUUUUUGAUUUUAAGCCAAAAAUAUCAUUUGUAAUAAUGAGAAGUAGGUUCAAAGAUAACUAACUAACUUGAAAUCAUCUUAAAAUCAUAAACUUUAAGAUAAAUUAAUUUGAGGUUUUUUCAGUGACUUAUUUUUUUCUUAUAUUAUAAGGAUCAUUUUUACCCGGCUCAGUCAGGCGGCCUCUAUAUCAAUGCUCUAUAGAAAUCGAUGUGUUGUGGGAGAUCUUUUUCAUCGUUAAUAUACGUAUAUAACUGCAUCAGAUCACAUAAAAAAAUGUUGUGUUUAGAUCUCACUUGCAUAAGAAAAAAAGCAAUGAAAUUACAAAAAACAGAAAUGAAAGUAGCCUUAGUUGAAACUGAAAUAAACGAAUACAAUCAUCACUCAAAGCUGCUGCACUGAUUUAACACGAUCGUCCAUUACACAAACACAACAAAAACACAAUAACAAAGUGAAAACAGAGGGGAGCCUUAAGGAGGCCUAGUCGGUGUGAAUGUGAAUCCCGAUGGCAAUGAGAAGGAUGGUGAUGAUACCGAAGUAUAUGAUGGUGUGCACCAGAAUCGCGAGGCCGCUGGUGUGCAUGUUUCCAAACUCCACCACUCUGCCUCUCCCAGGCAGCUGAAACAACAGUCCUGGAGACAACAGCACGAACAGUAUCACCGCUAUCAACACCGGUCCCCAAUCUGCCAUCUCGCUGUGUCUCUAAAAUUCAAUCUCUCUCGCCCUUUUCUCUCUCUCUCUCUCUCUCUCAGUCUCGAUCUCUCUGGCUGUUGUGUUAUUUAUAAAGAUGGGUUGAGAUAGGAGCUGAAGUAAAGAAUAAAAGGGGUAGCUUGAGUGAGGGAGUUGGACACGGUACAUAGUCACACGCAAGACAUCUAACAGGUGUAAAGACUGGGAGAUAGAUAAGUGUACUGUAGUUUACUCUCUCUCUUACAUGUGCCUUGCCACGUGGCUUCCUCCUCUCUAACUCUCCUCUUCUAUCAUGAUCAUCCUUUGAUCUUAUCCAAUAUAAGAUGGACAUGCAUAAUAUUUUAAAUUUUUUAUUUCUAACUUCCAAGUAAUGUCAGUUUAUCUCUGUGAAGCUUCAGUUUACAAUUGUCCAUAGACUAUGUUAUACUCUCUUGUACAAAAGGAAAAAAAAAAAAAAAAACCGCCGAAAGUGAAUCGUAGGUAGCGUAACGUAACCUGUUGUUUUAUACCACAAAUUAUUUUCCAUCUUUUAAAAAAUAUUACUUUCGGAGACGACAUAUAAAAAUGGAAAAGAAAUUGAUACCGUGACUAUCGUUCCUUUCUUGUCAGAGCAACUAAAUUCUCAUUGCAGUUUUCUUUUCAUAAACCAUCCCACUGAAAAAUAUUGCCAGUGAAAAAUCACAACUCCUCAACUUAUCAAGUGAUCAGCACCAGAAACAAACACUGAUAUAUAUCACUAUGCAGUCAAAUAUUCUCCUAGUGUUUCUUUCUAAUUGUAUCUGCUCAGUUUUUAUUUUGUUUUUGUAUUGUUUGCAGACUUGCAGUCCUGGAUAACUUGGCUCGCACAGAAUCUACUGAAUUUGCAUAUUAUAUCACUAUUUUCCAUAUAUGACAUUACAGGGAUAAACCACAAAUCAUUGAAUCAAAAGGAUAAAAAUCUCUGGAGUGUAUGAAGACAACUCAGGAGAGUACAACCACAAUAAUCAUCACGAAAAAAAACUGAAAUCUUCACCAGUUCUCAGUUUUUUAGUUAUUAGAGUACGUAAUAAAACAGAAUCUGAUCACAAAUAUUAAACUGAAUACGAGUCCACUCUCUGAAAUCUUGUCCAGCUAGCUUCAACCAUGUAUCGACCGGUAUAUGUCAUUCAACACAUAAUAGCUUCCCUCUGCUGCAGUAGGCAUCAAAAGGAACACCUGCGAGAAAAUAAAGAUGAAUAAAUUCCCAGUUAUAACCAGAAAAAAUAAUCAUUUUACAAGAUAGAUUAGUAAAAAGACAUCAGAAUAUUUAGCAAAAAAAAAGACAUCAGAAUAAGAAAAAAAGUUCUCUUGAACUAUGCUGAUUAGUGGAAAAACUGAGGCAGAAUAACAGGCUAUUACAGAUUCAAGAGCAUCUUCCAGAGCUAUAAUUUUAAGCAAUAUGCACAAAAAUUCACUCCAACAGAGUCGUAUUCAUUUCCUAAACGUUAAGAUUCAUUUUCCAUUCCUCAUAAAUAAGUAAUCCCAAACUCAUUCCUCAUUUGAUUUUUAGUGAUUAAAUAUUCAACUCUCACCUUUUGUAGACUCUUUACCACAUUUUGUUUUUAUCUUUUUGUUAAAUGAAUUUAAGUUUAAUAUUAUAAUAAUAAUAGGAAACAUAAAUAUGGAUUGUCAUUCGAGUUGUCAAUCAAUACUGAUUCUUUAUUUUUUAAAAAUUGAAUUGUUUAUCAUAUAUUUAAAAAUCCCUGGACACUAAUAUUUUACAACUUAAAACAUUAGAAUCUAGUAUCCCAUCUAUCCAUGUACGAAAACCGUAGAAUUCGAUUGAGAACACGUAGUCAAGUGAAAAAUACCUCAAGAGUCAAGACCAUAAAAUACCUCGAAAUCGACUAGUAAUCAGUACUCUGUCUCUGUCUGUUUUUUAUUAUUUGACGUUUUAACUUUUGACAUACAUUUUUAAGUUUUUUGACCGGUUAGUUAAAAAUAUUAUUUUUUAACUUUUUUUCUGAAUAAAAAUAUAUAAUUAAAAUUUUAACUCACAAAAAAAACCAAUCAAAAAUAAUAUUUUUAACUAUCCAAUCAAAACACUUAAAAAAAUGUACCAAAGAUCAAAACAGCAUAUAAUAAAAAAAUUACCACAUAAAACACCUCAAGCAAUUAUUAAUAAAAUAAUUAGCACAAUUAAAAUCAUUACUCCCUCUGUUUUUUUUAUAUGACGCUUUGACUUUUGGCACACACUUUUAAGUGUUUUGACCAGUUAGUUAAGAAUAUUAUUUUUUAAUUUUUUUUUUCUGAAUAAUAAUAUAUAACAAAACUUUUAUUCAGAAAAAAAAAUUCAAAAAAUAAUAUUUUUAACUAUCCGGUCAAAACAUUUAAAAGUGUGUGACAAAAGUCAUAUAAAAAACAUAGCGAGUAGCAGAUCAGGAAGAGGGAGAGAGAGGGACCUGACUAAACCUACUAGGAGCAUACUCUUCGAUCUCCACACUCCCAUCGACAGAAACAAGGAUACCACCAGCAGGACCAGAAGACUGGCCAUCAAUAGUACCGAUUCUAUGUUUAAACUUCUGCGGGAGAGAAGUAAGCUUAGCAACGAUAUUGACGGAGCCUUGAAUCUCCUCACCUUCAAAAGUCAACCUCGAAGCUUCCUUAUACAAACUCCCCAGAUUCGAACGAUUAUCGAAUGUAAAGUAGUAGUGAUCCACAAACGCCCUCGCCACUGCAUCUGCAUCUGCAUCCAUCUCGCUUAUACACACAGCUGCUCUUCUCUGUUCUCUGUAUAUUAUCUCUAUUUAUCAAUCGGGUAGCGGUCCCGUGAGCCAUAAAAUUGUUCUCUGUAUGUUAUCUGUCAAUCGGGUAGCAGUCCCUGUAAGCCAGCUCUGUAUAAUAUCUCUAUGUAUCGGUCGGGUAGCUGAGCCAUUAAAUAGGGUGGCUGCCUGGCUGGGGUAGCUGAGCCAUUAAAUUGCUCUUUGUCUGUCAACCGGGUAGUGGUUAGUGCGAGUCAUUAAAUAACUCAAAGAUCCUAGACCGUUGGACAAAUAUCCAACGACCGGUAUUAUAACAAAUUUUUAAUAUAUCUAGGGACGAGAAAAUUACUCCAUCGAGUGCUUUUUAAGCGUCGGACGCCACUCGUCUAGCGGUUAUCGGUUAGCACUACACAUAUUAUAAAAAGUAUUAUAAUCACGUCCGUCGGAUUAGUGAGUUGUUUAAUGGAACUCACGGAUCCUGGACCAUUGGAUAAAUAUCCAAUGACUAGAAUUAUAACAAAUUUUUAAAUGUUUACCGAUGAGGAAAAUGACUCUGUUGAGCGCUUUUUAAGCGCUGGACGUCACCCGUCUAGAAGUUUGUUUACCGAUGAGGAAAAUGACUCUGUUGAGCGCUUUUUAAGCGCUGGACGUCACCCGUCUAGAAGUUUGUUUACCGAUGAGGAAAAUGACUCUGUUGAGCGCUUUUUAAGCGCUGGACGUCACCCGUCUAGAAGUUUGUUUACCGAUGAGGAAAAUGACUCUGUUGAGCGCUUUUUAAGCGCUGGACGUCACCCGUCUAGAAGUUAAAAAGCACUACACGCAUUAAAAUAAUUAUUAUAAUUCUAUUCGCUGAAUUUGUGAGUUAUUUAACGAAAUUUACACAUCUAGACCGUUUAAUAAAAUAUUCAGCGAUCAAGACUAUAAUAAAUUUUUUAAUAUGUAUGCGAGGGACCGUUGUCCUUCAUCAAAGACCUAGCUCUCUGGAUCUGGACCGAGAAUCUUCUCCUCCGGACCCCAGUACUCUAAUUAUAAUUUAUGAACUAAAUAGUGUUAGACAAAAUUCUGAUGAAUUUUGAAUGAAAUGAUGUCAAAGAGUAUUAACUUUAUCUUUAUCUAACUGAGUUGUCAUUUAUAUAUUACUAAUAAUAUCUUCAUUUUAUGUCAUCAAUAAUAUAAAUAUAGCUUUAAAUAUAUAAUACUUCCUCCGUUUCAAAAUGUAUGACGCUUUGACUUUUUACACACAUAUCAAAGUGUUUUGACCAAGCACCUAGAAUCAUCAUUUCUUUUAAAAAAAUUUAUAUUUUAAAAUUUUGACUAUAUACUUUUAUUUAAAAAAUUAAAAUUUUAAAAACAAUAAAUAUAAGUAUAUGGUCAAAAAAAUUUUAAACUACGUAUACAUUUUGAAACAGAGAGAGUACUUGAGAUAGACAUGUCGUUUGCUUGCAAUUUUAAUGUGGAUUUAUGUGUUAUAUGAUUAGCAGAAGCUUGCAAUUAACUGGUGAUUGUUUAAUGCUUGAGCUGACUUCAGUGUUUCGGGUAGAGCUUGUGUAGAAUUUUUAAGUUCAGUUGCUAGUGCAAGUGGUUUGUUGUCUGCAUCUCUGUCGGCACAGUUUUGGUAGCUAAAUUUGUGAAGCUUCAGUUCACAAUUGUCCAUAAACUAGGUGGGUAUUUGUGUACGGCUUAAAAGCUGGUUUGUGACUUUAUAAGUUAGAACUACUUAUUCUUACUAUUUGUGUAAAAAGUCAAGAAACAAUUAUAAAAAGUUAGGAAUGCUAGAUUUUGUUUCUGGAUAUUUACCUAUUUCCCAAACACUUUAUUCACUUAGAGCAUCUCCAAUCAUCAAAAACUUUUAGCUAAAAUAUGAGUUGGCAUACCAAAAACAAAAAAUUUAGCCAACGUCUCUAAAAACUCAUACUCCAACCACACUCAGCAAUUAUCUAUAAUUUUAGUCAACCUCCUAUGGAUAACUAAAUUUGUCGAACGUCUAUAGAUUUGUAAGAAAAUCUGUAGGAAAAUUGCACAUCAUUUAUUACCGUAUUGAACUGAUAUAUUCUGUUUUAACAAUCUAAAAUAUUAAUAACAUACUAUCUUUAAAUUAUAGCCAACCAAUAUAGCCAAUAUCAUUAAAGUAAAAUGUCCUACAAGUUCAGCAAAUUUUACAUAAUGCCUUACAGAUCCAACGAUUAUAGCCAACGCUGUUGGAGAUGCUCUUAUAAGUCUUAAUUUGCUUCUAAAAUCUACUUCAUUUUUUUAUUUUAAACAAGAAACACAUAUUUUAAACUCACUCAAACGGCCCUAUGUUAUUCUCUGUUAUACAAAAGGAAGAAAUAUCCACCGAAAGUGAAUCGUAGGUAGCGUAACGUAACCUGUUGUUUUAUACCACAAAUCAUUUUUCAUCUUUUUAAAAAUAUUACUUUCGUAGACGACAUUAAAAAAAAAAAAGGAAAAGAAAUUGAUACCGUGACUAUCGUUCCUUUCUUGUCAGAGCAACUAAAUUCUCAUUGCAGUUUUCUUUUCAUAAACCAUCCCACUGAAAAAUAUUGCCAGUGAAAAAUCACAACUCCUCAACUUAUCAAGUGAUCAGCACCAGAAACAAACACUGAUAUAAAUCACUAUACAAUCAAAUGUUCUCCUUGUGUUUCUCUCUAAUUGUAUUUGCUGAGUUGUUUUUUUUAUUGUUUGUAGUAGGUGUCGGGUUAUAACUUAUAACCCAAUCAGGUUAGUUUUAUAAAAUUUGAACCCACCAAAAACCUUGUUAAAAUGGCUUGAUCGGGUUGGUCGAUUUAUUCGGGUUGAUUAUAAAAUAAAAUUUGGUGUAACAUAUAUAUGUAUUUGUUGAUUAGUGAUAAAAUAAUUUAAGAGUUAGAAUAAUCAAAAAUCACGUGCAACUUAAUUUAGUACUCCCUCCGUUGUUUUUUUUUUGUUGUUUUUGUUUUUAAAGAAAGGUACUCCCUCCGUUUUGAAAUAUAAGUCGUUUGAUUUUUUUGCACGUUUUUUAAGUCUUUUGACCGUACGCUUAAAAUCAUUGUUUUUGAAAUUUUCUUUUUUUGAAUAAUAAUAUCAAUCAUAUAUUUUUAUUCAAAAAUAAUGAUUUUUAUCGUGCGGUCAAAAGAUUUAGAAAUACGUGAAAAAAGUCAAACGGGUUAUAUAUCAAAAUAGAUGGAGUAUGCAAUUAUAGAAUCAAUCACCACGUAUAUACAUCAUAAUAUACUACAAUCUAAAAAACUAAAUUACGUUACAAAUAAAUAGAACAUCACUAUAUUAUAUAUUAUUUAUAAUUUCAAUAUUAAUAUUAAAAAAUUGUGACUUUUAUAACUUUUAAGUUAAUUAGUAAACUAAUAGUAUGACUUAUUAGUGCAUAAUAUAUGUCGGGUUGGAAUGAGUUAAAAUUAUUAAAGCCCUAACCCAACCCAUUUAAUUCGAUUUUUUUAUUGUUUAGUCCAUUUGAAGUUCGGUUUAAUAAUAUCGGGUUGGGUCGGCUAAAAAUAGGGAUAGGUUGAGUCGGUUUUGUAAUAUUAUGGGCACCCCUAGUUUGUAGGCCGGGAUAACUUGGCUAGCACACGAAUCUUCUGAAUUGGCAUAUGAUAUCACUAUUUUCCAUAUAUGAGAUUAUAGGGACAAACCACAAAUCAGUGAAUGAAAAAGAUAACAAUCUCUGGAGUGUAUGAAGACAACUCAAGAGGGUACAACCACAAUAAUCAUCACGAAAAAAAACUGAAAUCUUCACCAGUUCUCAGUUUUUUAGUUAUUAGUUUUUUAGUUAUUAGACAACAAACUGAAAGUUUGUUGUAACUUUCUAGUGUUCCUCCAUUUCUAGCCUUCCAGUAUUUUUAAUUGACUUAUUUCAUUUUUUAAACUUUCGACAUCUUCCAGUACCUUUAUUACUUUUAAUUUUGUUUCUCUUAAUUCUUUCUUUUGAAUUUUAUAUUUAUUUUUAUAAAAUUUAUAUUUAUUUAACCAUUCUGUGUUAGUUUUACUUCUUAGCUUAAGAUUUUCCUUUUUUAAUUCUUCUAAUUCUUCUAAUUCAUCUUGUUUAUUUAUUUUUUCUACUGUUUUAUUUUCAUUUUUUAUGGGUUCAUACUUUUUUCUUUCUCUUUCCAUAAUUUCCUUUCCGUGUUUUUUAAGAAAGGUGAUUACACUAUGUUCUUGUAUAGACAUUUUUUUUUUCUUCAGAAUUUUCCUUUUUUAUGGAGUUCGGCUAAACUAUUUAUUGCCCUCUUAACUCCUGUUGACAUCUGAGGGUUUGAUUUACUUAUAUCCAUAAGUAUAGGGCUUUUAAUACUACUUCCUAUUAUAUUUAUAGGUACUACUUCUGGUUUUUCUUCAUUUUCCAAUAUUUCUUCCUUUUGUUCUAAACAAUUUUGAAUUGCUGUUAACUUUCCUAGUAUUUGUUUAAAGGUAGGUACUUCGGAUACAUUCCAUAAAGCUGUUAUUUCCUCUCUAAUAAUCUGUCUACUUUUUUCUUGGUUUUCCUCUAUUUUUGUUAAUAUUGUUUUCAAUCCUUCUUUUACAAAUAUUUCAUUCCAAAUAUCUUUUAUUCUUUCCUCUGAGUUACUCAUUUUUAUAUAUUCGCUUACUCCUUCUCCUUCAACGAUCCAAAUUUUUUCAUUCUUAGGUUUGUUUAUAUGUUCUUUUAACUGUUUUAUUUGGUCUUCUAACUGUCUUUUUUCUUCUAAAUAUUCUAAGUAUUUUUCUUGAGAUAAUAUUAAUGUUUCUGUUAUUAUAUUAUUUAUAAUUGUCAAUUCUUUUUCUUUGUUAUUUAAUUCUUUUUCGAUAUUCAUAUUCUUUCUAUAAAUCGUAAUUUAUUCUGAUCAUUUAUCUCUAUUCCUUCGUUUGUUAUAUUAUACUGAAUUUUAUUAAGAAAAUCCAUUCCUAAUAAUAGUUGAUAACUAACAUCAUAUUCGAUUACUCCUAGGGUUAAAUUAUAUUCUAAAUCUUGGAUUUUUAUCCUUAGUUUUAUAGCCUUUGUUACUAUUGAUUCCCUUGAGUUAUUUGGUUCGUUUAUUAUUUGUGGUUCUAUCUCUUCGCAUUUAUUUAUAUCAACUUCCGUUAUAUGUAUUAAACUCGUAGUUGCUCCCGUAUUAAUUUCUGUUAUUAUCUCUUUUGCAAAUAUUCCAUUAAAUAAUAUUGUCUUAAUUCUUAAUUUAUCUGAUUCGUAGCAAGGUAUUUUAAUUAGAUUUAUUUUUCUAGAUAAACUCAUACUCCUAAUUAAAUUUUGAUCCUUUCUAAAGCUUAACCUAGAGCCUUCCAGUAUUGGUUUAAUUCUUGGGGUUUGUAUUAUUUGUCUAUUAUUAAAAUCUAUGUUUAUCUCCUCUGGGAUUGUUAUUCUAGAUUCCUCUUUAUGUUCUAUUCUCUCCAAUAUGUCUUCAUAUAAUUUCCAAUUCUAUUUGUUUCUUUACAUGAUGAUUUCCAGUUAUAGCGUAUACCAUUUUUGUUUCUAUACUAAUCACUUUACUUCCCUUUGGCAUAUUUAUUCCAUCUAAUUUAUAAUAUAGAGUUAAGGCCCUUUCUUUAUUUUCAUCUUUUAAUGAUAUACUAAAAUCAAGUUGUAUUAUAAAUUUUAAUUUUUGAUAUAUUAAAUUUCCUUUUACUACAGCUACUAAUGCAUCCUGUAUAUUUCCUAAUAUUCUAUCAUCUAAUAUAUAUAUUUGUAUAGGGGUAUCAAUAUUCUUCUGAAAAUAUGCCUUUAUAGUGAAUUCUAUUGCUCCAAAAUAAAUAUUUUUUAGUUUACUAGCUUCUUUAUGCGAUAAUUUUGAUAAUUCAAGUUUUAUUAAGUCAUCAGUUAUUAAAUUUAUUUUUGCUCGCCCAUUUAUUGUAUUUAUGUCUAUUACGUUUUCAUGUUUUUGUGCUAUAUACCUUAUUUGUUUAUUUCUUUCAAAAUAGUUUGUCUUAAAAAUCUUUUUUUAUUGUUAAUUCCUCUGUCUCACUUUGAAUUCUUUUAUAUGUUUCUGAUUUAAAACUUAAUGUCUGGGAUGUUCCACCUUCGUAUUCAUCCAUUUGGUAAUAGUCUUUUUCCGUUAUUUCUUCUUUUUUGUCCAUUAAUAAAAAUAAAUAUAUGUCUUCUUAUUAAUCUCCUUUAUAUGUUUAUUUAUAGUUUCUUUUACUAAAUCUAUAUUUUGUCUAUCUAUUUCUUUACCUAAUUCUGGAUAAGUUUUAUACGAUUGACUAUUUACAAUUUCAUUUAAAUAAUCUAGCAUUUUCAUAUUAUUUGUAAUUAUUUUAUAUCUCAGUUUUAUUUCAUUUUUUAUAUAUUUUUUAUAUACAAAAUAAGAUUUUACUGCUUCGUUAUUCAUUUUCUUUUUAAAUCUUCAAUGAUUUUAUAUUGUUCGCUUAAUACUUCUCUAUAUUCUUUUUCAGAUGUUACUCGUCCUGUUCUUUCUAUGAAAUUUUGUUUUCUUAAUUCUAAAUUAUCUUCUUGUAUCAAUCUUAUUUGUUCAUCUCUUUGUUCUAACAUUUCCCUCAAUGUUCGUAUUGUACUUUCUUUUUGCUCAAUAAUACUUAAACUUAUCCUACAAGUUUCUAUAUGUUGAUUUAUAUCUUUAUUAUAAGUUGGUGUCUUAUUUGCUAUUUUUUGAAUUAACUUAAUUUCAUCUUCCAUCUAAUUACAUAGACUUUUUUCAAGAGUUUUCUUACACAUCUUCUUAGUUUCUAUUUUAUCUGUUUUAAAUAAUAUUAAAAGAUUAGAUAUUAUUUUAGAUUUUAAUCCAUUAUUUAUUAUUCUUUUUAUCUUACUAGGGGGUCUCAUUAUAUAUGCUUAUACAUUUCUUCUAAAACUGUUUUUGAAUAUCCUUUAAAUUCUGGUAGAGAUUUCCAACUUUCUAGUGUUCCUCCAUUUCUAAUAUAUGAUGUGGGGAUUACUUCCUUAGGUAAUACUCUUAAAAGAGAUUUUAUUUCAUUAUCUACUGAUAAACAAUUUCUAAGAUAAAAAUCUUUAUAACCUAUUCUUAUGAUUUCAAAUCUUCUUAUAGCAUAAAGUAUUAAACCUUUAUCUCCAGAAGAUAUAACUCUAUUGCUUAAAUUAUGACAAUAAUCAUAAUAAUCAGAAAUACUCAUUUCUUGUAAGUUAUCAUUAUAAUCCUGAAAUCUUAUUCUUGUCUUAUCGCAACUCAUAUUAUCUCUUUUGCCUUUUGCUGGCUCUGAUACCAAAAUACCGAGAGGAUAAAGGGGAUCGUUUCUUAUAUCUAAUAAACCCUAAAGAGGGUAGGCAAUUAGAACUUACAACAAAAACAAUCAUGUUUUAAAUAAAAUCUACAAUCUAUAACUUCUAAACAUUUUUCAUCAAUAUCAUGCAUAACAUGAAUUAUAGAUAUCAUAUAAAAAUCCUAUCUUAUUUAUCAAAAUAAAUCAUACUAUUUAAACAGAUUGGCUCACCGGAGUCCCUGAUCUCUGCUAUGCCCUUUUAUGACCUCCCGUCUAACAGGCUCUGCAACCAGGUUGCUCGACAGAUAUCCACCAUCUCUGCUUUAAAUGAUAUAACUUAUAAUGACAAAUAGAUAAUAUUUGUAUAUGAUAUCUUAUUGAUGAACAUGUUUUUCUGUUGUAGAUUGUAGGAGAAGAGGUUUAGUUUGCCAUAAGAAGAGUAAGUGUAGAGAAAUUUAAGAUGUAUUUCAAGAACUGAUGAUUUUCAAUGUUACAAUAAGGUCUCUUAUAUAGAGAUCCCGGUUUUUAUUACAGCCAUACAAUAACCUUUCAAUAAUGUAUUACAAUAAUGAUACAUGAAUUAUUUUCUGAGUGCAGUCUUUUCUAUCUUUUUUUAGAUUCCUGCUAUCUCACUUUCUUCAAAAGCUUACAGAUUUCCUGUCAACUCAUAUCUUCU